GAUGAACGCUGGCGGCGUGCCUAAUACAUGCAAGUCGAGCGAACAGAUGAGGAGCUUGCUCCUCUGACGUUAGCGGCGGACGGGUGAGUAACACGUGGAUAACCUACCUAUAAGACUGGGAUAACUUCGGGAAACCGGAGCUAAUACCGGAUAAUAUAUUGAACCGCAUGGUUCAAUAGUGAAAGACGGUUUUGCUGUCACUUAUAGAUGGAUCCGCGCCGCAUUAGCUAGUUGGUAGGGUAACGGCUUACCAAGGCAACGAUGCGUAGCCGACCUGAGAGGGUGAUCGGCCACACGGGAGCUGAGACACGGUCCAGACGCCUACGAGAGGCAGCAGUAGGGUAUCGUACGCAAUGGGCGAAAGCCUGACGGAGCAACGGCGCGUGAGUGGUGAAGGUGUUCGGUUCGUAAUACUCUGUUAUUAGGGAAGAACAAAUGUGGAAGUAACUAUGCACGUAUUGACGGUACCUAAUCAGAAAGCCACGGCUAACUACGUG
rnacentral:rRNA from 1 species